ensembl:lncRNA
AUCGCGGCAGAAAAGAAAGGCGACAUUUCCGCCAGUCCAGCAGCGCCGUCUCGCGUGUGCGUCCUGCUACGGCCGCUGCAGUGUGCAGCCCUUGCAGCUGUUCGGCCGGGGGGGCGGCUUGGACUACAUGUCCAUGCUUACCUACCGGGGCCCUCGGAGUGCCCCGCGGCCCGGCCUGGCCUACAAAGGCCCCCGGAUGACCCUGCGGCAGAUCUGUCGCACGCUGAAGAACAUGAAGCAGCUCAGGAAGAAGGAGGCGGCCUUGGCAGCGGCCAGGAAGCUGGCCCCCCUGCCCCCUCCUGAGACGCAGACGGAACAACGCCAUCAAACGGGCUAGCUGACCCAGGGACCCCCCCCCACCCCUCCCUCCAGGAGGAGCUCUGACCAGGUCUCUGGAGGAAGGGGUUCAGUCAUCUGUCGCUCGUGUCUGAGCUCAUGCUGCCUGCUGGAACGUUGACUUGUUGUCAUUGUUUCAUAAAUGUGGAGGAGGAGUCAGGGGUUAAUUGGAUUCAUUAUUUCAUUGAGAUUACAAUUUUUGUUGUUAAGGCCCAAUCCCAUUUCUACCCCUUAACCCUUACGUAAGGGGUAGAAAUGGGAUUGGGCCUAACUCAUCUAAAUGAAGAGUAGGAUCCCUUAUGAUUUAGUUGUGGAUUGUUUUGGUUGAAGUGUUUUCCACUUAUUGACACCAGUUAUAAAUGGUAUUUUUUUCACAAUUAUAGCUUGGAAAUCUUCACUGAAACUCUUACACUUCAGUUAUUAUAUAUUUAAUUAUGGAUUACUAUUCAUAUAUUUAUAAAAAAAAGAAAAAAGUAUUUACUCACUGAUCACUGAACUCAUGAAUCAUAUUCCUCAAGUCUUGGUUUAUUCUGUUCUUUGUAUAUUUGUUGUGGAAUAAAGUAUAUCAGCAAGAA